rnacentral:rRNA from 1 species
GAUGAACGCUGGCGGCGUGCCUAAUACAUGCAAGUCGAGCGAACAGACGAGGAGCUUGCUCCUCUGACGUUAGCGGCGGACGGGUGAGUAACACGUGGAUAACCUACCUAUAAGACUGGGAUAACUUCGGGAAACCGGAGCUAAUACCGGAGAAUAUAUUGAACCUCAUGGUUCAAUAGUGAAAGACGGUUUUGCUGUCACUUAUAGAUGGAUCCGCGCCGCAUUAGCUAGUUGGUAAGGUAAGGGCUUACCAAGGCAACGAUGCGUAGCCGACCUGGGAGGGUGAUCGGCCACACUGGAACUGAGACACGGUCCAGACUCCUACGGGAGGCAGCAGUAGGGAAUCUUCCGCAAUGGGCGAAAGCUUGACGGAGCAACGCCGCGUGAGUGAUGAAGGUCUUCGGAUCGUAAAACUCUGUUAUUAGGGAAGAACAAAUGUGUAAGUAACUAUGCACGUCUUGACGGUACCUAAUCAGAAAGCCACGGCUAACUACGUG